rnacentral:rRNA from 1 species
CGGGUGGUAAUGCCGGAUGCUCCAGUUGAUCGCAUGGUCUUCUGGGAAAGCUUUCGCGGUAUGGGAUGGGGUCGCGUCCUAUCAGCUUGACGGCGGGGUAACGGCCCACCGUGGCUUCGACGGGUAGCCGGCCUGAGAGGGCGACCGGCCACAUUGGGACUGAGAUACGGCCCAGACUCCUACGGGAGGCAGCAGUGGGGAAUAUUGCACAAUGGGCGCAAGCCUGAUGCAGCGACGCCGCGUGAGGGAUGGAGGCCUUCGGGUUGUAAACCUCUUUUAUCGGGGAGCAAGCGAGAGUGAGUUUACCCGUUGAAUAAGCACCGGCUAACUACGUGCCAGCAGCCGCGGUAAUACGUAGGGUGCAAGCGUUAUCCGGAAUUAUUGGGCGUAAAGGGCUCGUAGGCGGUUCGUCGCGUCCGGUGUGAAAGUCCAUCGCUUAACGGUGGAUCCGCGCCGGGUACGGGCGGGCUUGAGUGCGGUAGGGGAGACUGGAAUUCCCGGUGUAACGGUGGAAUGUGUAGAUAUCGGAAAAAAAAAC